rnacentral:rRNA from 1 species
GAUGAACGCUGGCGGCGUGCCUAAUACAUGCAAGUCGAGCGAACAGACGAGGAGCUUGCUCCUCUGACGUUAUCGGCGGACGGGUGAGUAACACGUGGAUAACCUACCUAUAAGACUGGGAUAACUUCGGGAAACCGGAGCUAAUACCGGAUAAUAUAUUGAACCGCAUGGUUCAAUAGUGAAAGACGGUUUUGCUGUCACUUAUAGAUGGAUCCGCGCCGCAUUAGCUAGUUGGUAAGGUAACGGCUUACCAAGGCAACGAUGCGUAGCCGACCUGAGAGGGUGAUCGGCCAAACUGGAACUGAGACACGGUCCAGAAUCCUACGGGAGGCAGCAGUAGGGAAUCUUCAGCAAUGGGCGAAAGCCUGACGGAGCAACGCCGCGUGAGUGAUGAAGGUCUUCGGAUCGUAAAACUCUGUUAUUAGGGAAGAACAAAUGUGUAAGUAACUAUGCACGUCUUGACGGUACCUAAUCAGAAAGCCACGGCUAACUACGUG